UGGGGGAAAGGCACCAUGGUAACUGUUACAUCAGCCACUUCAACUAAACCAACGGUGUUUCCUCUGAUCCCAUGUGGUUCGGGGACUGGAGACACGGUCACUCUUGGCUGCUUUGCCACCGGCUUCACACCCUCAUCAGCAGAGUUUUCAUGGACCAAAAAUGGGGCUGCCCUGACAGAGUUCAUUAGGGAAGCAAAGUUUCGAAUGUGGUGUGACACAUCCUGCAGGAAACGUACAGUCUGGUCCCAUCAAACCUAUGGACAGGAUUUAUCGGAUGCCAACUGUUAAAGUGUUGAAAUCUGAGGAGGGAACCGAGGUUUCCUUCUCCUGCUUUGCCAAAGGUUUUUCACCCCGAGAAGAGCAUGAGAUCAGUUGGCUGGAAAAUGAAGGGAAAGUCAACAACAAAAUAUAUGAGAUCAAAACCCCUCUGCAAAGCGAAAAGAAUGAGUAUGGAACUUUGUACAGCGCAGCACGUUUUAUUGCAGUACAGAGCAGUGGAUUGCCACAUGGGACUAAGUUCACAUGUGUGUUUAAGGGGAAAACAGAAAAAGGUCAUGAAUAUAAGAAUGAUUCUCUGACCUACGGCCCUUCCUGCAGUUCUCAAGGAUGUCCUAAGGCAGAUGUGGAUGUAAAGAUUGUAGAGCCCAGUUUGGAGGAAAUGUUUUUAAACAGAAAAGGACAGGUGACAUGUGUAGUCACAGUAAACACUCCAUCCGUAACCAGGAUACAUUGGGAGGAUCACAAUGGAGAUGAAAUAGUUGGUGCCUCAUUGAUCCCCAAGCCAGGAGUCACAGGGACGUUUAAGGUUCCACUCGAAGUCACGUAUGAUGAGUGGAGCCUGGGGAGGCGGUUCAACUGUGUUGUUGAACAUCAAAACUGGUUAACACCAAAAAAGACAGCAUAUGAAAGGAAGCCUGGGUUGAAUACAGUGGAUGUAGAGUGCCCGUUUGUGACUACCUACACACCAAAGGAAGAUAACAUGGGAAACACAGCCAUCACCUUCAUCUUUCUCUUCAUCAUCACUCUGCUGUUCACCAUUGGAACCACUGCUUUUAAGGUUAAAUGAAAUAAGGUGAUUUUUCUGUUAUAAAAUGCAGUUUUUUCUUAUAACUUCAGUGUCAUGUAAGUAAUCACAUUUGUGCUUUUUAAUUGUUAUUACAAGAACUUUAUGCCUUUUGAAAAUAAAUGUUUAAAUGAGGUAAAUGAUGUUACACCUGCAUCUUUUUUCUCUCUUCCAUUGUUUUGAAAUGAUUUGUUUUGUCUGAUUGCACUUAUUAAUACUU